rnacentral:ribozyme from 13 species
AAAUAAGUUGCCAAAACUGACCAAAUGAAAAUGGUUGUUUUUCCCAUUCUUGUUCUCUCUUUCUUUCUUUCUUUUUUCCACAAAGGAGGGAAAAGGAGGGAAAAGGAGGGGAGAAAGU